rnacentral:tRNA from 1 species
UGCCCGGUGGUGUAAUGGUAACACACCAGCUUUUGGAGCUGAGAUUCCUGGUUCGAGCCCAGGCCGGGCAACCA